rnacentral:tRNA from 1 species
GCGCGUGUGCGGCCAACUGGAUUCCGGCCGGGCCUCUAGCCCGACGCGGACCGCCAGUUCGAAUCUGGUCUCGUGCUCCA